rnacentral:tRNA from 1 species
GCCUCAUUAACUCAGGGGCAGAGCAGUAGUUUCGUAAACUGAAGGUCGUGAAUUCGAAUCUCUCAUGAGGCU